rfam:Actinoplanes friuliensis DSM 7358, complete genome.
UUCGGUGGUUAUAGCGGAGGGGAAACGCCCGGUCUCAUUCCGAACCCGGAAGCUAAGCCCUCCAGCGCCGAUGGUACUGCACUCGGGAGGGUGUGGGAGAGUAGGACGCCGCCGGAC